UGGGACCCGUAAAAAAGCACAUUUUUUGUGUAUCCGGCCUAGAUGAACGCGGGCGCCGGCCUAAACAAAUGCAAGUCGAACGGUAGGCACCAGGGAGCUUGCUCUUGUGGUAACCGGAGUGGCGGAACGGGUGNGUAAAUGUCUUGGGAAACUGCCCCGAUGGAGGGGGAAUAACUACUUGGAAACGGUNGCUAAUAACCGCAUAACGUCUUCGGACCAAAAGUGGGGGACCUUCGGGCCUCACACCAUCGGAUGUGCCCAGAUGGGAUUAGCUAGUAGGUGGGGUACGGCUCACCUAGGCGACGAUCCCUAGCUGGUCUGAGAGGAUGACCAGCCACACUGGAACUGAGACACGGUCCAGACUCCUACGGGAGGCAGCAGUGGGGAAUAUUGCACAAUGGGCGCAAGCCUGAUGCAGCCAUGCCGCGUGUAUGAAGAAGGCCUUCGGGUUGUAAAGUACUUUUCAGUGGGGAGGAAGGCGAAGGAGGUUAAUAGACUUUGUCGAUUGACGUUACCCGCAGAAGAAGCACCGGCUAACUCCGUGCCAGCAGCCGCGGUAAUACGGAGGGAAGCAAGCGUUAAUCGGAAUUACUGGGCGUAAAGCGCACGCAGGCGGUCUGUCAAGUCGGAUGUGAAAUCCCCGGGCUCAACCUGGGAACUGCAUUCGAAACUGGCAGGCUAGAGUCUUGUAGAGGGGGGUAGAAUUCCAGGUGUAGCGGUGAAAUGCGUAGAGAUCUGGAGGAAUACCGGUGGCGAAGGCGGCCCCCUGGACAAAGACUGACGCUUCAGGUGCGAAAGCGUGGGGAGCAAACAGGAUUAGAUACCCUGGAUAGUCCACGCCGUAAACGAUGUCGACUUGGAGGUUGUGCCCUUGAGGCGUGGCUUCCGGAGCUAACGCGUUAAGUCGACUGCCUGCCGGCAGUACGUCGUCA
rnacentral:rRNA from 1 species